GGACCGGGCUUGCGGCGAGGUCGCGUACCCGGGCGGGCGUGGGCGCGGGCGCGCGCGUUCCCGGGACUCAGGGACUGUGGGGUGCCCUCGCGAGGCCGGGCCUGCCACCUCCAGGUCGCUACCUGAGCAUCUUUCCCUGCAGUUCCUUGAGUCGGCUCCAUCUUCUCCCCGCCCGCCCUUCUCUGUAAGGUGAAGACCUGGAGGAGGUAAUUCCUAUUACAGUCCUUGGGGGAUUUUCCAAAACGUUAAUGGAAGGACAGUCUGAUGACAAGAUUCCUCAUGAAGAGAAGGAAGACUGUCCAUAAAAUAUGCCAUGAGCAAAGACAAGGAAACAAGACUGCAGAUGCAUUCUGUGGUUCCAGGAAUUCAGAAGCAUAGUCUCAGCCCUCCUGUGUCUGACUGAGAGGCACAUAAGGAAAUCAUCACAAUACAAGGUGUCAGUCAAGUUAAAAUUAAAAGCAGAAAGAGAGAAGAGGGAGAAAGAGAGAGAAGAGAGACGAGAGAGAAGAAAACUGGUUGCUUUAGGUUAUGUGCUCAACUGUUGUCUAGGGAAAGAUGACAUUUUGAUAUUUUCACCAAGAUUGCACAUAAUGGACAAGGUUGCCCAC